AGACUAUAGAAUUACGGGAAAAAAAUGCAUAAGCUACUAGUCAGCGUCUCCUGCUUCCUCCCCUCUUUCUUCCAAGCACAACCCUAGAAAUUCGAGUCAUGAGGGGUCUGAUCUCCGGCGCGAAGAGGCUAUGGACAACAACACCGCCGACGGCGAUAACCACCGCCAUAGCGAGAAGAAGCUACAGCGUAAUUCCAAUGGUUAUCGAGACUUCGUCGCGAGGCGAGAGAGCUUACGACAUCUUCUCGCGACUGCUCAAGGAGCGCAUAAUCUGCAUCAACGGCCCCAUAAACGACGACACGUCACACGUCGUCGUGGCUCAGCUUCUCUACCUCGAGUCCGAGAAUCCUUCGAAGCCGAUUCAUAUGUACCUCAAUUCACCGGGCGGACACGUCACCGCCGGUCUUGCGAUUUACGAUACUAUGCAGUACAUUCGAUCUCCGAUAAGCACGAUUUGUUUAGGCCAAGCUGCGUCCAUGGCUUCUCUGCUCUUGGCAGCAGGUGCCAAGGGACAAAGACGGGCACUUCCCAAUGCGAGCGUCAUGAUUCAUCAACCUUCAGGAGGAUAUAGUGGACAAGCUAAGGAUAUGACUAUCCACACGAAGCAGAUUGUCCGUGUUUGGGAUGCGUUGAACCAGCUCUAUGUGAAACACACGGGGCAACCCUUAGAUGUGAUUGAGAAGAACAUGGAUAGGGAUCAUUUCAUGAGUCCUGAGGAGGCUAAAGCGUUUGGUAUAAUCGACGAAGUGAUUGAUGAGAGACCACUGGAGCUGGUGAAGGAUGCUGUUGGAGGUGAAAGCAAAGAUAAAAGUUGAGAGAAACUGAGUCGCCGAUGGCUCCUAGCCGUAGAAAAACAGGGAGCAAAGGCAUCGCGAAAGGAGAGUUGAGACUGGGUGAUCUCGUUCUUGCUAAAGUCAAAGGCUUUCCUGCUUGGCCUGCUAAGAUCGACCGGCCCGAAGAUUGGGAUCAUGUACCAGACCCAAAGAAAUACUUCGUUUAUUUCUUUGGAACACAGGAAAUAGCUUUUGUUGCGCCUCCUGAUAUUCAAGCCUUCACUAGUGAGGCGAAGAAUAAACUG